rnacentral:lncRNA from 1 species
GAGAUGUCAGGUGGAGCGGCACAGGGUGACGCUCCCUCCUUCCCAGCAGGAGCCUGCCCAGGAGGAGCUGGUGGCAGAGGAGGACCAGGACCCGUCGGAACUGAAUCCCCAGACAGAAGAAAGCCAGGAUCCUGCGCCUUUCCUGAACCGACUAGUUCGGCCUCGCAGAAGUGCACCUAAAGGCCGGAAAACACGGGCUCGAAGAGCGAUCGCAGCCCAUUAUGAAGUUCAUCCACGACCUGGACAGGACGGAGCGCAGGCAGGUGUGGACGGGACAGUGAGUGGCUGGGAGGAAGCCAGAAUCAACAGCUCCAGCCCUCUGCGCUACAACCGCCAGAUCGGGGAGUUUAUAGUCACCCGGGCUGGGCUCUACUACCUGUACUGUCAGGUGCACUUUGAUGAGGGGAAGGCUGUCUACCUGAAGCUGGACUUGCUGGUGGAUGGUGUGCUGGCCCUGCGCUGCCUGGAGGAAUUCUCAGCCACUGCGGCGAGUUCCCUCGGGCCCCAGCUCCGCCUCUGCCA